rnacentral:pre_miRNA from 1 species
AUAAUGCACAUUAAUUAUCCUUGAGGCCAUAAGAUAAACAAAAACCCUUCAAAAACAAGUUAGCACACCCUAGAAUGGUUCUAGCACGAUUACUAACCUAUAACUUUGAUAUCAGUUGAUGGAAAAAACCC